UACGGGGGGGGCAAGCGUUGUUCGGAAUUACUGGGCGUAAAGGGCGCGUAGGCGGUCAGCACAAGUCAGUUGUGAAAUCUCCGGGCUUAACUCGGAAAGGUCAACUGAUACUGUGCGACUAGAGUGCAGAAGGGGCAACUGGAAUUCUCGGUGUAGCGGUGAAAUGCGUAGAUAUCGAGAGGAACACCUGCGGCGAAGGCGGGUUGCUGGGCUGACACUGACGCUGAGGCGCGAAAGCCAGGGGAGCGAACGGG
rnacentral:rRNA from 1 species